rnacentral:rRNA from 1 species
CGCACGGGUGCGUAACGCGUAUACAAUCUACCUUUUGCUGAGGGAUAGCCCAGAGAAAUUUGGAUUAAUACCUCAUGGUAUGUAUAAAUGGCAUCAUUUAUAUAUUAAAGGUUACGGCAAAAGAUGAGUAUGCGUUCUAUUAGCUAGAUGGUAAGGUAACGGCUUACCAUGGCAACGAUAGAUAGGGGCCCUGAGAGGGGGAUCCCCCACACUGGUACUGAGACACGGACCAGACUCCUACGGGAGGCAGCAGUGAGGAAUAUUGGACAAUGGGCGAGAGCCUGAUCCAGCCAUGCCGCGUGCAGGAAGACUGCCCUAUGGGUUGUAAACUGCUUUUAUACAGGAAGAAACACUCCCUCGUGAGGGAGCUUGACGGUACUGUAAGAAUAAGGAUCGGCUAACUCCGUGCCAGCAGCCGCGGUAAUACGGAGGAUCCAAGCGUUAUCCGGAAUCAUUGGGUUUAAAGGGUCCGUAGGUGGAUAAUUAAGUCAGAGGUGAAAUCCUGCAGCUCAACUGUAGAAUUGCCUUUGAUACUGGUUAUCUUGAGUUAUUAUGAAGUAGUUAGAAUAUGUAGUGUAGCGGUGAAAUGCAUAGAUAUUACAUAGAAUACCGAUUGCGAAGGCAGAUUACUAAUAAUAUACUGACACUGAUGGACGAAAGCGUGGGGAGCGAACAGGAUUAGAUACCCUGG